CCUACGGGUGGCAGCAGUGGGGAAUAUUGGGCAAUGGGCGCAAGCCUGACCCAGCAACGCCGCGUGAAGGAAGAAGGCUUUCGGGUUGUAAACUUCUUUUGACAGGGAAGAGCAGAAGACGGUACCUGUCGAAUAAGCCACGGCUAACUACGUGCCAGCAGCCGCGGUAAUACGUAGGUGGCAAGCGUUGUCCGGAUUUACUGGGUGUAAAGGGCGUGUAGCCGGGCUGACAAGUCAGAUGUGAAAUCCGGGGGCUCAACCCCCGAACUGCAUUUGAAACUGUUGGUCUUGAGGAUCGGAGAGGCAGGCGGAAUUCCUGGUGUAGCGGGGAAAUGCGUAGAUAGUAGGAGGAACCCCGGUGGCGAAGGCGGGCCGCUGGGCUUUUACUGACGCUGAGGCUCGAAAGUGUGGGGAGCAAACAGGAUUAGAUACCCUAGUAGUC
rnacentral:rRNA from 1 species